UACGAAGGUGGCAAGCGUUGUUCGGAUUUACUGGGCGUAAAGGGAGCGUAGGUGGUGCGGUAAGCCCCCCGGGAAAGCUUCAGGCUUAACCUGAAAAGGUCGGGGGGGACUGCCGCGCUAGAGGACGGGAGAGGAGCGCGGAAUUCCCGGUGUAGCGGUGAAAUGCGUAGAGAUCGGGAGGAAGGCCGGUGGCGAAGGCGGCGCUCUGGAACGUUUCUGACACUGAGGCUCGAAAGCGUGGGGAGCAAACAGG
rnacentral:rRNA from 1 species